GCAAGUCGAGGGGUAUAGGUUUUCGGAUCUAGAGACCGGCGCACGGGUCCGUAACGCGUAUGCAAUCUACCUUUCACAGAGGGAUAGCCCAGAGAAAUUUGGAUUAAUACCUCAUAGUAUUAUAGAGUGGCAUCACUUUAUAAUUAAAGUUCCAACGGUGAAAGAUGAGCAUGCGUCCCAUUAGCUAGAUGGUAAGGUAACGGCUUACCAUGGCUACGAUGGGUAGGGGUCCUGAGAGGGAGAUCCCCCACACUGGUACUGAGACACGGACCAGACUCCUACGGGAGGCAGCAGUGAGGAAUAUUGGACAAUGGGCGCAAGCCUGAUCCAGCCAUGCCGCGUGCAGGAUGACGGUCCUAUGGAUUGUAAACUGCUUUUGCACAGGAAGAAACAACUCUACGUGUAGAGUCUUGACGGUACUGUGAGAAUAAGGAUCGGCUAACUCCGUGCCAGCAGCCGCGGUAAUACGGAGGAUCCAAGCGUUAUCCGGAAUCAUUGGGUUUAAAGGGUCCGUAGGCGGUUUAGUAAGUCAGUGGUGAAAGCCCAUCGCUCAACGGUGGAACGGCCAUUGAUACUGCUAGACUUGAAUUAUUAGGAAGUAACUAGAAUAUGUAGUGUAGCGGUGAAAUGCUUAGAGAUUACAUGGAAUACCAAUUGCGAAGGCAGGUUACUACUAAUGGAUUGACGCUGAUGGACGAAAGCGUGAGUAGCGAACAGGAUUAGAUACCCUGGUAGUCCACGCCGUAAACGAUGGAUACUAGCUGUUGGGAGCGAUCUCAGUGGCUAAGCGAAAGUGAUAAGUAUCCCACCUGGGGAGUACGUUCGCAAGAAUGAAACUCAAAGGAAUUGACGGGGGCCCGCACAAGCGGUGGAGCAUGUGGUUUAAUUCGAUGAUACGCGAGGAACCUUACCAAGGCUUAAAUGUAGAUUGACCGGUUUGGAAACAGAUCUUUCGCAAGACAAUUUUACAGGUGCUGCAUGGGUGUCGUCAGCU
rnacentral:rRNA from 1 species